ACGAAGGUUCCGUUUCCACUGACGCUGCGCUUCAACUCAAUUUUGAAAAGGGGCAUAGAACUGGCUCUUUGAUGUAGUCUAUCGUAGCUGUUUGUAGUAACCAUUCUGUAUUUGUAGCCGAGAAUCAAACUCAAUCGAUGCAGGAUCAGAUGUUGGACGCUGCAAUGGCCAUGCCUCGAGUUAAUGUGCAUUGUAAUGUGGUUUAUACCGCAUUUAGAUAGUUCAACAAAUGACUAAAAUUGCAUACAAUAGUUCAAAAAUUACUGUUAUACUGGCUGGUUUUACAUUUGUUUACUAAUGUUAUCGCCUAAUAUGUACGAAUAAAGUGCGCUGCACAUACAACGUCCCGUCACUGUGAAGUCAACGUGAAGGAAUGAAAUGUCAAAUAUUCUCCCAUGGAAAUCGUAUGGUAACAUUCACAUACAUCAUCACCGGAAAUUGUGACGUCGGCAGAAUAAGUCCAAGAGAAUAUUUGACGGGACGAUGACGGUGAUGUUGUAUGUGUAGCGCACUUAAUUCAUAUCGCAAAAAUCAACUAAUCAUUGGUAAUAUUUACCCAAAAAUCGUCAUAUAUACCAAUUUUUCCUAAGAGUGUAUAGUUCAUUGGUCGAAAAUACGGAAUAAUUAAAAAACCAAAUGGUAUCACUGGUAGUCCGCUAAACUGUCAUCUCAAACAAAAACAAAUGGACCAUAUAACUGACUAUGAUGUGAAAACAUCUGGCUUUUCUAUAGCCAUCAAUAGAAACUAGCCGGAAGAUGAUUUCCCCCAUUACCAGUCGCCAAACAACAAGAACAACAGUGCAGAUUUUCACCGUUGUCACAGGAGCCAACAACAUCUGCAAUUCCAAUCAGCAGUAUCCUCCAAACCCAUGCCGGGGACAGCAACAACAGCGGCAACAGCAGAAUCGAAUCCUCGGGCACAAAUGUGUAUCAAGGAAAUAAAAACUAUCAACGCAGGAGGUAUUUAUCAACGAGCUCAGCUGGACUCGAAUCGUCAAUCCGAAAACCCCGGAUUUAAAAAUUUCGCUGUAUUGUGGUUAUUUGUAUAUCUCAAAUACAUAUUGUUUUGUAAUACGUAUUUUUUCGAGUAAUAAAAUGACUAAAAUUGA